rnacentral:lncRNA from 1 species
CAACUACAGAGAAGACUUUAAAAAAGUUAAAAAACAAAAAAAAAAAAUUAAAUUAAACUUUAAAUCAAAAAAUGGUGAAAAUUAUAAUAAACUAUUUUCUCUUGAAGAACUUAAAACAUCUCUGUCAAAAGCCCAUGAUACAGCUUGUGGGCCUGAUAAUAUUCACUACCAACUCUUAAAACACUUGCCAGAUUCCUCACUAGACGCUCUCUUGCAGCUCAUGAAUAACAUCUGGGAAUCUGGUGAUUUACCAUCAAUCUGGAAGCUUGCAACCGUCGU